UUAUAUCGUUCCGCAAGACGAAUUUCCCUAUGGGCUUGCUUCGCAAGACGAAACGUCUUGCGAGUUCUUACGGGUUUGUUUCCUUUUUCUUAAAGCCGCUAAGCCGCUAAGCCGUUAAUAGCCGCUAAGCUGCUAAGCCGUUAAUAGCCGCUAAGCCGCUAAUAGCCGUGCUUUGCAAGACGAAAAAACCACAAGACGAAGAGACUCGCGGAACGGAUUAAUUUCGUCUUGCGAGGCAGCACUGUAUGUUAAGAUAACUUAAAUAGAAUUACUUGCACGUAUCAGGUUGGCCUAGGAUUUAAAUAUGUGAUGUUAUAGAAUAAUAUGUUUAAAGUUAAAAUGAAAAGAAAGAAAGAGGUUAAUUGACAAUGUAAAUUUUAGGUGAAAUUAGUUUUGGAAAACUGCUACAAUGAUAUAUAUGGAAAUUCAGCCAGGGGGAUUCGAGCAAGUGAGACAGGAUUAUUGGAACGAUAUGCAAAGUUUGCCAGCUGGGGAGUUUGACCAAUACAUGAAGGACAAGAGGGAAAUGUGAACACAGCUAGGCACUAAAAUAUCAAGAGUGUCCUUUAGAAAACCAGACAGCCCCAGGGGGAUUCGGGAAAGUGAGCUAACUGCCUUGCGUGAGCCAUCCCACAGUGUUUAAAGUGAACCUUUGGCGCCAAGCUUCUGAAAAAAGAGAGAACUUGCUAAUUUCUACAGCUGCUUCACAGCCCCCGGUGCCAAGGUUGACAUCAGUCACAUUUUGCUAGCUACUUGCAUUUAAAGCAGUUUGUGAAAUUUUGAUGUUAACUCACACCAAGGCAGCUUAUGCAGUCCCAAAGCAGAACUAAAAAAAAACCACCUCCCAAACCCUAGUAAAGAAUAGAACCAAGCAAAAGAAGCAUUAGCUUGCUUGUGGAAACUGUUUAUUGACUGACAAGAGGGAAGAGUGAAGGCCACACGACUCAUAAUCCCCAAUCAAGCCUGCCGAGACCCUGGCAUUUUGAUUGCCGCAAAUGAGACAUACUUCUUGAUUGAAACAAGCAGCGCUUUUGCAGUCAAAGAUUAAAAUGGGUGGAGCUCCCAGGCUGUCUGAAUUUACACAUCGCACCUUUGAAAGCUGGCAUGCCAUAAGGGUUCAAUUUCUUUUACUUCCACCCCUGUAGACCAAGAGCAAUGGGUGCACCUCCUAAGGUUCUUCUUCCGCAGUCUAAGCCAAGAACGCCAUGUAAAUGGGUCGUCUCACUGCAAAACGCAGUGACUUAAUUGCCUCCAAUCAAUUUAAGAAACAAACCAGUAUAAUCUAUUAAUUUUUCAAAUGAAGGUUUUACAGCAGUUAAUGUAGCAUGAAGGUUAAAAAAAUCAUUUUCAUAAAAUACAAGAGCAACCAAUUUCACCAUUAA
rnacentral:lncRNA from 1 species